ACAAGUUAAAAGCUCAGAUAGAAAGCCGUUCACACCUGUGUCUAUCAUGGGUCUCCAGCUGACCACUUGUGUUCAGAUUUUAUUACUGCCUACGUCACU